rnacentral:rRNA from 1 species
GACGAACACUGGCGGCGUGCUUAACACAUGCAAGUCGAACGGGUCUGCCCUGUUUUUUGCGGGGUGGGUCAGUGGCGAACGGGUGAGUAACACGUGAGUAACCUGCCCCUCACUUCUGGAUAACCGCUUGAAAGGGUGGCUAAUACGGGGUGUUCUGGCUGUGCCGCAUGGUGUGGCUGGGAAAGAUUCACUUUUGUGGUGUUUUGGUGGGGGAUGGGCUCGCGGCCUAUCAGCUUGUUGGUGGGGUGAUGGCCUGCCAAGGCUUUGACGGGUAGCCGGCCUGAGAGGGUGGGCGGUCACACUGGGACUGAGAUACGGCCCAGACUCCUGCGGGAGGCAGCAGUGGGGGGUAUUGCACAAUGGGCGGAAGCCUGAUGCAGCGACGUCGCGUGAGGGAUGGAGGCCUUCGGGUUGUGAACCUCUUUCGCCGGUGAAGAAGGUCCUGCUCUUUGUGGUGGGGUUGACGGUAGCCGGGUUAUGAAGCGCCGGCUAACUACGUG